rnacentral:lncRNA from 1 species
GCAUGUGCAUGAUGGGGUAAAAUAGAAUAGAGAAUUAAACAUGAAACAAAAUGGCUUCUAACAUGUUUACAAAACAACAUUACAUAUCUUAAACGUAAAAAUCAAUUUAUGAACAAGCAUAUAAUAUUUUCAUAUUUGACCUUUUGUGGAGCAGUAAACUAAGACGUCUUUGAGCCUCGGAUCUACACUCCUUUUGCAAAUGAAAACGAGUUUCGCUCGAGUGAAUUAAAAUGCAAAGUCUAUGUUGUGGCUAGUGCCAACAGAGAAGAACAAAGCUAAGAUAAACAUAAAGGUAUUAUCAAGCUUUUGGGUGAAGAAGGCUGCUAAAAUAUUCUUCAAAUGUAUUCCAAAUGCUAAUAAUUAUAGGAGUAGAAAAUUAGGGUUCUUAGUUUGGGUGGGAUUUUGAAUUUCAAAUUUGAAAUUUGUCAAAGAAAUUGAACUUUGGGGUAGGUUUUGGAGAGACUUGUAAGCUUCACAUGAUUGAGAAGAAAGUAGCAUGCAAAUGGAGUAACUUACCUCUGUCCAUGGUUGACAAGCCUUGCUGUUUUUCUGAAAAUGGAAGGGAAGAAAAUAAGAGAGUUGAGGGAGAAAGUGCGGCUG